CCUACGGGAGGCAGCAGUGGGGAAUAUUGCACAAUGGGGGAAACCCUGAUGCAGCGACGCCGCGUGAGCGAUGAAGUAUUUCGGUAUGUAAAGCUCUAUCAGCAGGGAAGAAAAUGACGGUACCUGACUAAGAAGCCCCGGCUAACUACGUGCCAGCAGCCGCGGUAAUACGUAGGGGGCAAGCGUUAUCCGGAUUUACUGGGUGGAAAGGGAGCGUAGACGGCGGUGCAAGCCAGAUGUGAAAGCCCGGGGCUCAACCCCGGGACUGCAUUUGGAACUGUGCAGCUAGAGUGUCGGAGAGGAAGGCGGAAUUCCAGGUGUAGCAGUGAAAUGCGUAGAUAUUAGGAGGAACACCAGUGGCGAAGGCGACCAGCUGGCAGAUGACUGACGUUGAGGCGCGAAAGCGUGGGGAGCAAACAGGAUUAGAUACCCCGGUAGUC
rnacentral:rRNA from 1 species